GGCUUGGUGAACCCUCAGAAAGGCUGUCAAACACCCAGAGGCCUUGGGGGUCAGGAACGAGCUAUCAUGUGGUCUUUCAUCUAAGAGAGAACUGUCCUGCCUGAUGAGCUUCAAACCACCAGAACAUCAGUUCUUCCUGGUUCUACAGUAGUCUCCAACCUUCAGACUCAAACUUCAGCACCUGUUCUUCAGAUUUUUGGACUUGCAGCCUCUAUAAUCACAUGAGCCAAUUCCUUAUAUAAAUUUAUUUAUACAUGCUGACAGUUGGUUCUGUUUCUCUGGAUAACCCUGACUGUUAGAGCUAUCACCUCAAAUUUGUUUUCUUAUAUUUGGUGUCUGUUUUGGAGUACUUACAAGUGCUUAAAAUGUUCUUUUUCAGUUAGGUGAGUCUCAGUCUCUAAGAUAAUUUUUUUAUUGUUCUAUUUUAUAGAUUACAUGUUAACGUCAAUUAAGCUAUAAACAUUUUAUUGCUAAUACAUUAUCAAAAUGCUUUUCAAACAGCCAUUUCCAACAUUUUCAAUAGAAACAGCCAUUUUCUAUUCUUUGGCAAAAAACAAUGCCAUUCUCUUGCCAUGGCCAAAUGUGGGUGCUACUAACAGGUAAACUCUUAAUUUGUAAGUGAGGCUAAAAUCUUAAAAUGCCUUCCUGAAACUUAUACACGAUUGAUUUUGUUUAUUUGUGUAAUUUCUUUGUUCUACGGUUUCAGCUUCAAUUGCUGAGAAAAUGUCAAGAUUAUUUCUUGAGAAUUUCCUUUGUGGCUAAGACACAGGAGAAGUUUUAAUUUUACUAGAAACUGUAAAACGAGGCUUUUAAAAAGUUUCAUUAAAAAAACAAAUUAGGGAAGAAUAGGCAUAUUCAGAAAACCUACUUUCAUUUAGGCUGGAUUGG
rnacentral:lncRNA from 1 species